AGAGUUUGAUCCUGGCUCAGGACGAACGCUGGCGGCGUGCUUAACACAUGCAAGUCGAACGGAAAGGUCUCUUCGGAGACACUCGAGUGGCGAACGGGUGAGUAACACGUGGGUAAUCUGCCCUGCACAUCGGGAUAAGCCUGGGAAACUGGGUCUAAUACCGAAUAGGACCACGGGACGCAUGUCCUUGUGGUGGAAAG
rnacentral:rRNA from 1 species